rnacentral:rRNA from 1 species
UACGGAGGGUGCGAGCGUUGUUCGGAAUCACUGGGCGUAAAGCGCGUGUAGGCGGCCUUGUAAGUCUGGUGUGAAAGCCCGGGGCUUACCCCCGGAAGUGCACUGGAGACUGCAAGGCUUGAGUACCGGAGAGGAAAGUGGAAUUCCUGGUGUAGCGGUGAAAUGCGUAGAUAUCAGGAGGAACACCGGUGGCGAAGGCGGCUUUCUGGACGGAUACUGACGCUGAUGCGCGAAAGCCAGGGGAGCAAACGGG